rnacentral:tRNA from 1 species
CUAGAGAGAAAGGAUUCGAACCUCAAGCUAAGAAUCCAAAACUCCUCGUAUAUCCAACUAUACUACACCCUA